UAAUGAACAAAGCACCACAUAACGAACAAAGCACCACACAACGAACAAAGCACCACACAACGAACAAAGCACCACACAACGAACAAAGCACCACACAACGAACAAAGCACCACACAACGAAAUAAACACCACACAACGAACAAAGCACCACACAACGAACAAAGCACCACACAACGAACAAAGCACCACACAACGAACAAAGCACCACACAACGAAAUAAACACCACACAACGAACAAAGCACCACACAACGAACAAAGCACCACACAGCGAACUAAGCACCACACAACGAACUAAGCACCACACAACGAACUAAACACCACACAACGAACAAAGUACCACACAACGAACAAAGCACCACACAACGAACAAAGCACCACACAACGAACUAAGCAUCACAUAACGAACGAAGCACCGCAUAUAAUAGUAGAAGCACUGCAUAUAAUGAUAUAAGCACCACAUAUAAUGUCAUAAGCACCACAUAUAAAACACAAAAAAAAAGAAAAGAAAUUGAUAGAAAAUGUCAAAGCUGAUAAAACAAAGAAAAAUAAUGAUGCAGGUGCUGACAAGAAAACGACCACCGUUAUCGUGG